rnacentral:rRNA from 1 species
AUUGAACGCUGGCGGCAUGCCUUACACAUGCAAGUCGAACGGCAGCACGGGAGCAAUCCUGGUGGCGAGUGGCGAACGGGUGAGUAAUAUAUCGGAACGUGCCCAGUCGUGGGGGAUAACGCAGCGAAAGCUGUGCUAACACCGCAUACGAUCUAAGGAUGAAAGCGGGGGAUCGCAAGACCUCGCGCGAUCGGAGCGGCCGAUAUCAGAUUAGCUAGUUGGUGGGGUAAAGGCCCACCAAGGCGACGAUCUGUAGCUGGUCUGAGAGGACGACCAGCCACACUGGAACUGAGGCACGGUCCAGACUCCUACGGGAGGCAGCAGUGGGGAAUUUUGGACAAUGGGCGCAAGCCUGAUCCAGCAAUGCCGCGUGCAGGAUGAAGGCCUUCGGGUUGUAAACUGCUUUUGUACGGAACGAAACGGCCCUUUCUAAUACAGGGGGCUAAUGACGGUACCUGAAGAAUAAGCACCGGCUAACUACGUGCCAGCCGCCGCAGUAA